GAUGAACGCUAGCGGCAGGCUUAAUACAUGCAAGUCGAGGGGCAGCAUGAUUGUAGCAAUACAAUUGAUGGCGACCGGCAAACGGGUGCGGAACACGUACACAACCUUCCAAUAAGUGGGGAAUAGCCCAGAGAAAUUUGGAUUAAUACCCCGUAACAUAACGAUGUGGCAUCACAUUGUUGUUAUAGAUUUUUCGCUUAUUCAUGGGUGUGCGGCUGAUUAGAUAGUUGGCGGGGUAAAGGCCCACCAAGUCUACGAUCAGUAGCUGAUGUGAGAGCAUGAUCAGCCACACGGGCACUGAGACACGGGCCCGACUCCUACGGGAGGCAGCAGUAAGGAAUAUUGGACAAUGGACGCAAGUCUGAUCCAGCCAUGCCGCGUGAAGGAUUAAGGUCCUCUGGAUUGUAAACUUCUUUUAUAAGGGACGAAAAAAGGCUUUUCUAAGUCGUCUGACGGUACCUUAUGAAUAAGCACCGGCUAACUCCGUGCCAGCCGCCGCAGUAACAC
rnacentral:rRNA from 1 species